CCCGCCCCUAGAGGCAUUGUGGGUAUGGCUACUGUGUCACAUGUAUAUCAGGAAGUGGAAGAGAGAAUGUUCUGACCUGUGACUCUGAAUGAUUAAUAGCCUAACACU
rnacentral:snoRNA from 1 species